CCCGGACACUCCAGCCGCCCUAGGCGAGCCGCUGGGAGAUGAGGUUAAGUUUGCGGUAGGGUUGACGCCUGCUGUUGCCCGGGUGGGCCACGGUUACCGUGACCGCAAUUCCGGGGUCCCAACUCGCCCCAAACUGAUCACUCUCCUCCACCACUAACCUGGUUCUUUGAUGAGACCUUUUCCCCAGCGCGCGCUCACGCUGCUGGUGCCCUCGUUAGGAUUCUGUGCCGGGCAGCGGGAGGCUUUCUGCCCUUUGUCUGUUCCCACGACCCGAGCCUUUGCUGUGUCAGACUGAACCCUUUGCUUUAAUCUGUUUCGAUGUUCGAUGAGCAUGAUUUACGCACUUAAGUCUGGCCUCUAACCAAGUCAACUUUACUGCGCGUCCUGCCCCAGGGUUUCUCUGUGCUCCUCUCUUGCCCGCGGUCAGAUCUAGCCGGCCUUAUCCCGCAUCGGAAGCAUUUUAGGAAGGGUCUUUAUCACCCACUGCGCUCCCGGCAGCCUCCGUGCCGUUUCAUCUACGACUAAUGCGUUUUCUCCGCGAGAAGGGUGAGCCUGGUACUCUUUUAAUUAGACCUGGCUCCAGAGCGCCGGGAGCUUGCAUGAAGAGGAGUUUGCCAAGAAACUGAACAAAACCGUUAGUGAGAUCUUAGCUGCUUCCUCUACCCGCCCAGUCGCUGGGAGCAUUGUCAUUCCCAGAGGCAGAAGUUCCUGGCGAGCCCUGUUAAGGGGAGGAAUUGGGUUUGGGCCGGCUUGAAGGGGCUUGAGGCUAUGACAGAGUUUAUACCCUGCUAGGGGUGACCCCCUGGGUUUGACGUGCUGUCUGACCUUGAGCGCACAGAGGGCCAGAGGAGGUGGGCGGACAGUCGACACGCUCCCGUAACCCCCACAGUAGUCCCGCCUUCGCCACGGUUUCACUUUCCACGGUUUCAGUUACCUGCCGUCAACCAUGGUCCGAAAAUAUUAAAUGGAAUAGCCCAGAAAUAAGCAAUUCAUUUGUGUGUGAAUAUCCACUAUCAUUUCUCUUGGAUAAAUGCCUAGCAGUGGAAUUGCUGAGUCAUACACAGGAGCAGAAGAACCAGGUGAUGUGAAAUCAUUCAGAAGCAUCCAAAAGAAGCCUGGUCCCGCUCAGAGGCUGAGGGAACUCCAGACACGUUGGGCACGAGGGGCUGGGCUGACUAGGGUCCGAAGGCCAAAGCCAAGACAGCCAGGAGGAGUCCCAGCCACAGUUAGAGGGAACGUGCAUUGUAGAGCUGGCUGCUGCAAAUAGGAAAAGGAAGAGCGACAGAGGAGGCUGGACGACGUGAAUGCACAGUGCCAAGGCAGAAACGUGGAACCCAGACAAGCAAUUACAGCUAUCUACUGCAACAGCUUGUCAUGGCUGUCUUAGUGGGAAACGUCUUGAAUAAAAUCCUAGAGCCAUUCCGAGGAAUCUGAGUUGGAAAGGGUCCUAUGGAGGAGGAGGGCGGGUGGGGAGGGGAAAAGGCAGAGAAGAGAGAGAAGAAGGAGCGGGCAGGAAGGACUAAGACCUAUGAGAGGGAAGAAAAAUGUGGAAGGCACAUUAGAUUUCAGUCCUUAAACCAGAGGUUCUAACUGUUUUUAUUGAAUUGACCAUAUGUUUAUAAUUAAGCAUUACAUUAUACUAUAUAAACAUUAAAUAAAUAUUAUUCAUAUAGAAUUACAUGUGUGGACACAGCACAUCCUGAGCGGAAGAAUCAGUUGCCGCCUCUUCUCCGAGGCAUUUUUGGGGUCCUCAUGUGGAAUUACUCCUCUCGUUUGCUCCCAGAGGUCACAGCCCGUUCUCUUAUGGUUCUGCAUCACGACGUCGCAUGUUGCCUAUUUCUCUCUCCAGUAGAUUAUGAGCUUUGUGAGAGGAAGAGGGCCUCUGUCCAUAUAACUAAUAUUUAUUGAGAGCUUGUUUUGUGCUAGGCCUUUUGCAAAGCACUUGACAUGUUUUUAAUCCUCUAAACAAUCCUACAUGUGAAUAUUUUUAUUCCCAUUUUAAAGAUGAUAAAGCCAAAGCGAAGCAAGUUAAGUAUUGUCGAGCUCACACAGCAAGAAAGAGGGAGCGCUGGGGUUUGGGAAUAGGCAGUCUGAUUCCUAAACCUUCACUCUUAAGUGAGCUAAUGUAUCGUGCCACCCUGCACCUAACUUAAGAAGACUGUUAGUUUAGUUACUUGAAUUGUUAGUGGCCAAAUUCUUUCAAAGUCUAAC
ensembl:lncRNA